GAACUCAAAGGAGUUCCUUAGCUUCUUCCUUUUCUUUCUCUAAUUGUCUUAAAAUUCCUCUCAUUCCGUUUUUCUUAUAAACUAGGAAUUCAUAGUUCUAUCGACUAGAAGAUUUGGAUCAAAGAGUCACUGAGCUGUUGGGGUUGAUCCAUUUGAUGUUUGUGGCCCUAUGUCCACGUCAUCAAGAGGAGGCUUCUCAUAUUUUAUAACAUUCAUCAAUGAUCACUCUCGGUUGGGCUAUGUGUAUCUCAUGAAGCACAAGUCCGAAUCUUUUGAAAAGUUUAAGGAAUUCAAGAAUGAGGUUGGGAGGCAAACUGGAAAGAGUAUAAAGAUUCUAAGAUCAGAUCAAGGAGGUGAAUACUUGAGUAUAGAGUUUCUUGAUUAUUCGAAGGAACAUGGUAUCAUUUCUUAAUGGACUCCACCAGGGACUCCACAACUCAAUGGAGUUUCCAAAAGGAGAAAUCAAACCUUG
rnacentral:lncRNA from 1 species